UACAGAGGGUGCAAGCGUUGUUCGGAAUCACUGGGCGUAAAGCGCGUGUAGGCGGUGGGGUGUGUCCUGUGUGAAAGCCCUCAGCUUAACUGAGGAAGUGCAUAGGAAACUACUUCACUGGAGUGCGAAAGAGGGUGGCGGAAUUCCUAGUGUAGAAGUGAAAUUCGUAGAUACUAGGAGGAACACCGGAGGCGAAGGCGGCCACCUGGGUCGUAACUGACGCUGAUACGCGAAAGCGUGGGGAGCAAACAGG
rnacentral:rRNA from 1 species